CUCUUGUGCAUGUUCAAGAAUAUAGUAGUGACCUUGGCUCUUAGCAGAUGAAGAGUCAGGAGCAGAAGACUGGUCGGAAAACGAUUGCAGCAGAUAUUAGGGACAGGUUCUGGUAAGUAGAACUCAUUGUCUGCCCUGGACUCCGGACGCUUUGCAGCAAUAUCCAUGUUGGGUUUUUGUAAAUUAUCCAAAGUUCCUAGAUGGUGACAGUGCUGUUUUAACAGUCAGCC